UACGGAGGGUGCAAGCGUUGCUCGGAAUUAUUGGGCGUAAAGGGCAGGUAGGUGGUCUCAUUUGUCUGGGGUGAAAGCCUUGAGCUUAACUUAAGAAGGGCCCCAGAAACGGUGAGACUCGAGUCCUGGAGAGGUGAGUGGAAUUCCCGGUGUAGCGGUGAAAUGCGUAGAGAUCGGGAGGAACACCAGAGGCGAAGGCGGCUCACUGGACAGGAACUGACACUCAACUGCGAAAGCGUGGGGAGCAAACAGG
rnacentral:rRNA from 1 species